GGCCUAACACAUGCAAGUCGAGCGGAAACGACACUAACAAUCCUUCGGGUGCGUUAAUGGGCGUCGAGCGGCGGACGGGUGAGUAAUGCCUAGGAAAUUGCCUUGAUGUGGGGGAUAACCAUUGGAAACGAUGGCUAAUACCGCAUGAUGCCUACGGGCCAAAGAGGGGGACCUUCGGGCCUCUCGCGUCAAGAUAUGCCUAGGUGGGAUUAGCUAGUUGGUGAGGUAAUGGCUCACCAAGGCGACGAUCCCUAGCUGGUCUGAGAGGAUGAUCAGCCACACUGGAACUGANACACGGUCCAGACUCCUACGGGAGGCAGCAGUGGGGAAUAUUGCACAAUGGGCGAAAGCCUGAUGCAGCCAUGCCGCGUGUAUGAAGAAGGCCUUCGGGUUGUAAAGUACUUUCAGUUGUGAGGAAGGGUGUGUAGUUAAUAGCUGCGCAUCUUGACGUUAGCAACAGAAGAAGCACCGGCUAACUCCGUGCCAGCAGCCGCGGUAAUACGGAUGGGUGCGAGCGUUAAUCGGAAUUACCUGGGCGUAAAGCGCAUGCAGGUGGUUCAUUAAGUCAGAUGUGAAAGCCCG
rnacentral:rRNA from 1 species